rnacentral:rRNA from 1 species
GGUAGCAAUACCAUAGUGGCGCACGGGUGCGUAACACGUAACUAACCUACCUAUAACUGGGGGAUAGCCCGCCGAAAGGCGGAUUAAUACCGCAUAAGCUCUUUGAGUGGCAUCACUUGAUUAGUAAAGAUUUAUUGGUUAUAGAUGGGGUUGCGGGUCAUUAGCUAGUUGGUAAGGUAACGGCUUACCAAGGCGACGAUGACUAGGGGAGCUGAGAGGCUGGUCCCCCACACGGGCACUGAGAUACGGGCCCGACUCCUACGGGAGGCAGCAGUAGGGAAUAUUGGGCAAUGGGCGAGAGCCUGACCCAGCCAUGCCGCGUGCAGGAAGAAGGCUUUCUGAGUCGUAAACUGCUUUUGACAGGGAAGAAUAAGCUGUACGUGUACAGUGAUGACGGUACCUGCAGAAUAAGCACCGGCUAACUCCGUGCCAGCAGCCGCGGUAAUACGGAGGGUGCGAGCGUUGUCCGGAUUUAUUGGGUUUAAAGGGUGCGUAGGCGGCCUUUUAAGUCCGGGGUGAAAGCCCGCUGCUCAACAGCGGAACUGCCCUGGAUACUGGAAGGCUUGAGUACAGACGAGGUUGGCGGAAUGGACCGAGUAGCGGUGAAAUGCAUAGAUACGGUCCAGAACCCCGAUUGCGAAGGCAGCUGACUAGGCUGUUACUGACGCUGAGGCACGAAAGCGUGGGGAGCGAACAGGAUUAGAUACCCUGGUAGUCCACGCCGUAAACGAUGGAUACUCGCUGCGAGCUAAAGAUUGUUCGUGGCUUAGGGAAACCGA